GAGGAAUAUUGGUCAAUGGGCGAGAGCCUGAACCAGCCAAGUCGCGUGAAGGAAGAAUGUCCUAUGGAUUGUAAACUUCUUUUUUAGGGGAAUAAAGUUCGGUACGUGUACCGUUUUGUAUGUACCCUACGAAUAAGGAUCGGCUAACUCCGUGCCAGCAGCCGCGGUAAUACGGAGGAUCCGAGCGUUAUCCGGAUUUAUUGGGUUUAAAGGGUGCGUAGGCGGACUUAUAAGUCAGCGGUGAAAGUUUGCAGCUUAACUGUAAAAUUGCCGUUGAAACUGUUAGUCUUGAGUGUAAAUGAGGUAGGCGGAAUGUGUUGUGUAGCGGUGAAAUGCUUAGAUAUAACACAGAACACCAAUUGCGAAGGCAGCUUACUGGGAUACAACUGACGCUGAGGCACGAAAGCGUGGGGAUCAAAC
rnacentral:rRNA from 1 species